UUCGGUCUUCUUGCCCGGGGGGGGCGG
rnacentral:sRNA from 1 species